rnacentral:rRNA from 1 species
UACGAAGGGGGCUAGCGUUGUUCGGAUUUACUGGGCGUAAAGCGCACGUAGGCGGAUCUUUAAGUCAGAGGUGAAAUCCCAAGGCUCAACCUUGGAACUGCCUUUGAUACUGGGGAUCUUGAGUCCGGGAGAGGUGAGUGGAACUGCGGGUGUAGAGGUGAAAUUCGUAGAUAUUCGCAAGAACACCAGUGGCGAAGGCGGCUCACUGGCCCGGUACUGACGCUGAGGUGCGAAAGCGUGGGGAGCAAACAGG